UUAAGAGAGCUUCCUUCAGUCCACUCAUGGACGGGUGAAGGGUUUGAAUUAUAUGCCGACUCAUUCAUUCAAACGCAAUAGAAAAAGGGUAGAGGUUGCUAUUGUGAAUGUAUGAAUGAUGCGGGAGAUAAAAUUUCAUCCUUCUCUUCUCUGUGCUUGGACUGAAGGGAGCUCCCUUUA
rnacentral:pre_miRNA from 1 species